CGCGGAGUAGAGCAGUCUGGUAGCUCGCAAGGCUCAUAACCUUGAGGUCACGGGUUCAAAUCCUGUCUCCGCAA
rnacentral:tRNA from 2 species